rnacentral:rRNA from 1 species
UACAGGGGGGGGCAAGCGUUGUUCGGAAUUACUGGGCGUAAAGGGUCUGUAGGUGGCCAACUAAGUCAGACGUGAAAUCCCUCAGCUUAACUGGGGAACUGCGUCUGAUACUGGAUGGCUUGAGUGUGGGAGAGGAAUGCGGAAUUCCAGGUGUAGCGGUGAAAUGCGUAGAUAUCAGGAGGAACACCGGUGGCGAAGGCGGGUCUCUGGGCCGAUACUGACGCUGAGGAGCGAAAGCGUGGGGGAGCGAACAGG